rnacentral:rRNA from 1 species
GUGAGGAAUAUUGGGCAAUGGAGGCAACUCUGACCCAGCCAUGCCGCGUGCAGGAUGACGGCCCUCUGGGUUGUAAACUGCUUUUAUACGGGAAGAAAAAAUACUACGUGUAGUAUACUGACGGUACCGUAAGAAUAAGGAUCGGCUAACUCCGUGCCAGCAGCCGCGGUAAUACGGAGGAUCCAAGCGUUGUCCGGAUUUAUUGGGUUUAAAGGGUGCGUAGGCGGAUCUUUAAGUCAGUGGUGAAAGCCUGCAGCUUAACUGUAGAAUUGCCAUUGAAACUGAAGAUCUUGAAUGUGGUUAAAGUAGGCGGAAUGUAUCAUGUAGCGGUGAAAUGCUUAGAUAUGAUACAGAACACCGAUAGCGAAGGCAGCUUGCUGAACCAUUAUUGACGCUGAGGCACGAAAGCGUGGGGAGCGAACAGGAUUAGAAACCCUGGUAGUCC